CGGCGCCGGUCCCACGCGGCCGGUAAAAUAAGUCGUGUUGUUAUUCCUCCGUCUUGAAUGUGCCGGUCGGUAGUGCACGCUGCUUCGAUGUUUUUGUUUGAUCGUGUGUUUUUAGGUUUGCCGUAAUGAAAUGUGGUGUAGUUCGUGUGCACGAAAGUGCCGGAAGGUAGCCUGCGUCUCGCUGCAAACUCGCCGUAUGCGUGGCGCGCCAGGCAAAUGUGGACCAACGAUUUUCAUGCCGUGGAGUGUGUUCCAUUUGUCUUGGGUGGUCGUGAAAAGUUUUGUGGACGUCGCGAUGAAAUAAUGCGUAUUAUUAGCGUGCCUCAGCUCGUCCAUUACGCAACGGCAUGUAUGCUGGAUCAACAUCGUCGACGCAGCACUGGCAACUCGGAGAGCUCUUUUCGAUCUCAUCGUACUGUUCAAAAGGUAAGCAAUCGUAGUUGCUAACUACACGUGUGUUGUGCGUGCUUAUCGUGUGCAUAGAGUGCCUUGCGGACGUAGGAAAUAGAACACCCACGGCAACAGUGAAAUCUGUGCUGAUGCUUGCGGCGCACUGGUUGUCAGAAUUUAGUUACGCAAAUUUGUUGCCACAAUGCGGAAUUGAUAAUUCUGAUAAGCGUUUUCUUCCGCUGAGAUAGAUUACGUUCGGAAAUCAUCUUGUGCACCUGUUCGUGAGCUCCCGUUUUUCUGCUGCAGUUGCAUAGUAACGAUCCACCUGCCUCUUCACCGAUUCUUUCAAUGAUGUUUCCUUGCUUAUAAAUGCUUCGACGUUGUGGGUAAUCUCUGCUUACGAGGUUUUAGGCUUACGAGCAGCAGGAAAAAAAUUGGCGAGGCCUUGGCCUGCAACAGUGUCCACUAAAAGGAGGAGCCCCCAGAAAUGCAGACCCGAUACGAGUGCCUGCAGCAGCAUGUCUGGAUGCUCAUGUCAGGCUUCACCGUGGCAGAGUACCAGGCGGAACCAACGAGGUUAAAAGCUAGCCUUUCCUCGCUGCUUUCCAGGAAGUGAAGUAGUGGGCGAUCAUGUAAGAAUGAACUUGCAACAUGUGAGCAGUAGCCAAAGCUUCAUACAGGUCAUGCUGGUGGUAAAAACUGGAAUGCUGAGACAAACCACAUUAUUUAUUUAUUUAAGUAUUAAAUAAUUUACAUUUAUUUGUUUAUACCUCACUAAAGCCUUACAUGCCUCCAGGAAGGAAUUAGGUAAAAUGGGAAAGCAUUAUUAAAUCAAAGUAAACACGUCAUUCAAAAAAGCAUCAUUCGCAUAGCACAAGCAUGAUGUAACAUUUUUUAUUCAAGUGACGUUUCAUACAAAUCCACGAAAAUUCCAAGAAACGAAGCUAUUAAGUUAACAACUCUUACUAAAAAAAAACAGUGAUAUCACCGUUCUAUUAGUUGCACCUAAUCCAUAACUAAAGUUGGCGAAAUUGACGUAUCAUAUACUGCUCUAAAAUACAAUCAUUAAUUUGUGAGUAGGACGUGCAAAAUGCUUAUAAACAUUGGAACAUUUCACGCAAGCUGUAAAUUCAUAUAGCAAAUUCCUUGACUUAAGACAUAGCUGUCCAGUCUGCAGAACUGCGAUAUGUGUUUUUAUUGCAGAGUUGGGGAUUAUUAAACUUCAUGCUUUUACUUUUCUUUAAACCUGCCUAUUUUUAAUAAUUUUUACUUUAGGCUCUGAAUUGAAAUUCUUCCAACAACCGGUAGACCUUAACUUUCUCAAAUGCUACAAAUUUAAUUCAAAAUAGCCUUGUGGUUGUCUCACAACCAUUUAGGAAUUUCACACGUAUUUAAGGAGGGACAUUGGAGUUGGUCCUUAGCUAAAGCUCGAGGCCAAUUCCGAUUUGCAGAACAGAAUUGUGCUUGCUAGUUUUUUUUUUUUUUUGUGAAUUGUAGUUCUAAACAUAAGUUUUUUUUAAUUGUGCAAUUUUCAACCAUUCUUAAUAAAAAUUGGUCUAAAUGUAAAUAACACCAAUUAAAAAUGUUUUAAAUAACAAACAUCAAGUUCAGUCCUGUGGUUGCCAAGAAAAACGAUUUCACUAUUCACAUGCAUAGGAGCUCCUGAGCUAAAUCGUUUUCUUAGGUAUUGGUGUGCGUCAGUCAUGCUUGUAUUUCCCAGCAUAAUUUUGGAAUAUUGAGCCUGAUCUCAAAAUUUGCCUUAUAACAACAUUCAAGCUUAUUAAGCUUUGUACAAUAUAUGAUGCACUUCUCCAGGAGUACCACUGUUUGCUGCAUUUUUACAAGGACUGCCAGUGUUCUUUUUACACUUUAAAAUAGGCCAGAAUGCUGUGUUUUAUAAGUUUAGUGUGGUUUUGUGGAGCUGACGCAAAACAUUGCAGUGCACAUAUAUCUGUGCACAUUGAUAUGAAUCUAUUUUCAGGCUUUAGUAUCCAACCGUUUAAUGUGCAUUGCUGGAACAGCAGGUCCUUCUGCAGUUUUAAUGCGAAGCUUUCUUGUCUUAGACAAGCCUGCUUUUCUCAGAUGUCAACUCCAGUCGAGUGUGCCACAGAUGUUUUCCUGUUUCGUAUGUUAGCACCACCAGCUUGAUCCGUGAAGCGCAUUGGCAGCUACAGUUUGUGUGUUGCAAGUUCUAGGCUGAAGCAUGUAUGCUGACUGUUCUAAAGUGUGUAUGUAGUAUGUAUGAUGCAUGUAUCUAGUCUGAAGUGCAAUAAACGUUUAAAACAGAUCACUUUGUGGUUGUAGUGCCAAUUAUUUUUGCCACUGCAUUUACUGUAAUCGUUAAUGCCUACAGUACAGUUCUCUAGAACCUCGGCAAAGUACAAGCACAUUACAAACAUCGACAUAGGUUUUAUAGAGAUUUGUCUUUCGGGUCUGUAAAGCAACUGCAGAGAAAUGUUCUAAAGAAAUUUGUCUUUACAAUCUUGAAAGGAACUCAAUAGAAAUGUUCUAUAGAAAUUUGUCUUUAGGAUCUUUAAAAGAACUCCGUAGAAACGUUCUGUAGAAAUUUGUCUUUACAAUCUUGAAAGGAACUCAAUAGAAAUGUUCUAUAGAAAUUUGUCUUUAGGAUCUUAAAAGGAACUCCGUAGAGAUGUUUUAUAGAAAUUCGUCUUUACAAUCUUAAAAGGAACUCCAUAGAAAUGUUCUAUAGAAAUUUGUCUUUAGGAUCUUAAAAGGAACUCCGUAGAGAUGUUCUAUAGAAAUUUGUCUUUAGGAUCUUAAAAGGAACUCCGUAGGAAUGUUCUAUAGAAUUGUGUCUUCAGAGUUCCUAUAAGAAUGCGGUGGCCAAAUAACUGUUGGAACUCUAUAGGAAAAUUCUAUAAGCAGUCAAAAUAAACACAAUAGAAUUCUAUCGAACAAGUUCAAAAGACUCUCUAAAAAAACACAUUAAA